GGUAGACGUCAUGUUUCAGACCUCCAACCAUCUAUGCUGUCACAGUCAUGACGAACAGAAGGCACUGAGACUCCCAGGACCAACUAUCAACCAUCAUCUUCGUUGCCUUUGUGACAGCUGCUCUGAGGGGGAAGAAAGUGCACUUCCUAGAGAGAGAUGACCUUUGCAAAGUGGAGCUAUUUGUAAAGACUUCUGUUUCUCCGGGGGAUUUUUUUUCUCACUCAGAAGGAUCAACCACAAAGUAGGUGGUCCAUGCUCUACUGAGCCCUGGGGCUGGCCUUUGCCAAAACUGAAUAACUGGCAAAAUCAGACUUUGCUGCAACCUCCCACACACCCACACUUGGCCCAGGCAGAUACUAAACACCUUGAACCCUAGUCUGACCAAUGUCUAGAAACCCUCCUGGUGAGUGUCCUGUGCCCUAGACUUUGCUUCCUUCUCCCUCCUGUGUGCAUAUGUCCUCUCAGGAGGCUAUCCCAUUCUAAACAGAAAAAAUAGGGUCAAAUUACAGAAUAUUGAAAGUCUUGGAAGUUCCAGUUUUAAAAAUCCUAAAAGUCAU
rnacentral:lncRNA from 1 species